rfam:Anisakis simplex genome assembly, scaffold: ASIM_contig0001537
GCCACUUUAGCUCAGUCGGUAGAGCAUCAGACUUUUAAUCUGAGGGUCAGGGGUUCGAGUCCCCUAAGUGGCU